rnacentral:rRNA from 1 species
UACGGGAGGCAGCAGUGAGGAAUAUUGGUCAAUGGGCGGAAGCCUGAACCAGCCAUGCCGCGUGCGGGAAGGAGGCCCUAUGGGCUGUGAACCGCUUUUGCCUGGGGGCAAUAAGGGCGUCGCGCACGUCCGAUGAGAGUACCAGGGGAAUAAGCAUCGGCUAACUCCGUGCCAGCAGCCGCGGUAAUACGGGGGAUGCGAGCGUUAUCCGGAUUCAUUGGGUUUAAAGGGUGCGUAGGCUGUGCGUCAAGUCAGGGGUGAAAUUCCGGGGCUCAACUCCGGGGCUGCCCUUGAUACUGUCGCGCUGGAGUGCGGAUGCCGCCGGAGGAAUGAGUGGUGUAGCGGUGAAAUGCUUAGAUAUCACUCAGAACACCGAUUGCGAAGGCAUCUGGCGAAUCCGUAACUGACGCUGAGGCACGAAAGCGUGGGGAUAGAACAGGAUUAGAUACCCUGGUAUUCCACGCCGUAAACGAUGAUGGCUAACCGCCGGCGACACACUGUCGGUGGCCAAGCGAAAGCGAUAAGCCAUCCACCUGGGGAGUACGUCGGCAACGAUGAAACUCAAAGGAAUUGACGGGGGCCCGCACAAGCGGAGGAACAUGUGGUUUAAUUCGAUGAUACGCGAGGAACCUUACCCGGGCUCGAACGGCGCCUGAACCACCCAGAGAUGGGUGGGUCUUCGGACAGGUGCCGAGGUGCUGCAUGGUUGUCGUCAGCUCGUGCCGUGAGGUGUCGGCUCAAGUGCCAUAACGAGCGCAACCCCUGCCGCCAGUUGCCAUCAGGUGAAGCUGGGCACUCUGGCGGGACUGCCACCGCAAGGUGUGAGGAGGGGGGGGAUGACGUCAAAUCAGCACGGCCCUUACGUCCGGGGCGACACACGUGUUACAAUGGCGGCCACAGAGGGAGGCUACCCGGCGACGGGAUGCGGAUCUCGAAAAGCCGUCCCAGUUCGGACUGGAGUCUGCAACCCGACUCCACGAAGUUGGAUUCGCUAGUAAUCGCGCAUCAGCCAUGGCGCGGUGAAUACGUUCCCGGGCC